rnacentral:rRNA from 1 species
GAUGAACGCUAGCGGGAGGCCUAACACAUGCAAGCCGAGCGGUAGAGAUUCUUCGGAAUCUUGAGAGCGGCGUACGGGUGCGGAACACGUGUGCAACCUGCCUUUAUCAGGGGGGUAGCCUUUCGAAAGGAAGAUUAAUACCCCAUAAUAUAUUAAGUGGCAUCACUUGAUAUUGAAAACUCCGGUGGAUAAAGAUGGGCACGCGCAAGAUUAGAUAGUUGGUAGGGUAACGUCCUACCAAGUCAGUGAUCUUUAGGGGGCCUGAGAGGGUGAUCCCCCACACUGGUACUGGGACACGGACCAGACCCCUACGGGAGGCAGCAGUGAGGAAUAUUGGACAAUGGGUGAGAGCCUGAUCCAGCCAUCCCGCGUGAAGGAUGACGGCCCUAUGGGUUGUAAACUUCUUUUGUAUAGGGAUAAACCUUUCCACGUGUGGAAAGCUGAAGGUACUAUACGAAUAAGCACCGGCUAACUCCGUGCCAGCAGCCGCCGUAAAAC